CACUUUAAAAAAGUCGUUACGGAAAACUAUACAGUCCAGAUCUCAAAUAAUGUUCAAAUUAAAGAAA
rnacentral:tRNA from 1 species